CCACUAUAUAAAUACCUACUCGUUCCACUAUUAACCCGUACGCAGCUUCUCGCUACCCCGUCAUCGAUAGUCCAACAAAAACUGAUCUUGACGACCUUUGGUGUCACGACUACGAGAUAGCUUUUUUUACCUUUAUUUUUUUAAUAUAAUUUAUUCUCAUCGUCUUAUUUUUUUUUUACUAAAUUGGUUGAAAAAUCUGCAGCAUGUUAGAAAGUGUAUAGCAGGAUUAUCGAGAUGCUAUAUUUUUAAUCCCUGACACAAAUUAUUAUUAUUUUUAUUUUUGGCCAUAAAUUUUAUGCUAUAUAUUGCAUGAUUAAUAAAUACAUACUCUUUCGAUGACUAAUAUUUAACUCUCUAAAAUAUUAUUUAUUUUUGUGUCUUAUUAUAAUAUGACGUAUGAAAAUCACCAUAUAUGGUGGUUAAAAUAGUCUUAACCAUCUGUUUGCUUUACAUGAUUGGGUACCUAAUAAUAUUUUAAAAUAUACGAGUAUAAUGCAAUUUAUAUUCUGUAAAUCUCUCUUUAAAUGUACGAUUCUAUUUACUAAAAUAAAUACUAUAACGUUCAUUGACAUUUGUGCUUUUUUCCGAGUUAUCAAAACUGAAAUUAUAAUAUGUAUUUUUUUUUAAUGUACAAAAUCAACUUGUAAGUUUUGUAGUAUAUGUUCAUUUAAAUUUUAAAUACACAUUUAAUUUUUAUUAUAUUUAAAAAUACUGAGAAACGGUGUGGUGAUAAUGUGAUAUACAACAACUUUUAUAAAGUACUAAAGGAGCGAGAGUAACUCAUUAAUUUUGUAAUAUACUAAGUUUACUUUUCGAAACUUUAAAUUCUUUUAAAUAAAAGUUAUUACAUUUAUAGAUAUUUAUUGUUAUAUAUAUGUAAAGAUUUUAAAAAUAAAACUUUGCAUCAAAUUAUAAAAUUAACAUUGUUGGUUUCUAUUUCAAAAUGUAUAACAUUGCAUUUUGGUAAAUCGUAGCUGUAGCCUGUAACUGUUUUUUUUAUAAUUUCGUUCAAAGUUGUAUCAGUUUUAGUAUUAUUAGGCACUAACUUAAAAUUAAGUUUUUAUAGCUAUGUCCAUGUAUAGGUGGUUUCAUAAUCUACCAGAAAAUUACCGUUAAGAAAUUAUAUUUUUAUGAGUAAAAAAAUAUCGAAUGACUGAAAUGUUUAAUGUGCCAUUAAAUAUAUGAAACUUAUGGUAUUAGUGAAGGUAUAUUUUUGUUUGUAUUUAAUAGGUAGUAUUUAUAAUCAUUAUUAAACUAAAACCAACCUGAUUUAACCAGAUAAAAAAAUUGUUUUACUUUUUCACUAUGUGUUUCUAAACAAUAAUUGCGAUUUCGUGUAUAAAAAAAUACACUGGGUAUAAUAAUAUAUUAAAUGUAGUUAGGUAUAGAUAAUAAUAAGAAAAUAUGAGAAUUAUACUUUAGGUAUUGACUAUUAUUAUGUAUUGUUAUUUUUAUGUUACUCUACCUAUUUAUUAUUAAUCUAUAAUAGUAUAUAUUUUGCUGUUGGAUACUUAGAAUAUAAAUUGUAUAUUAUAAUUUGCGACUUGCGUUGUAUGUAUAUAUAAUAUACCUAUAUAAAACAUUUUUUUUUUGAAAACAAAAUGCUGCUUAAACCGCUCCAUCGGUGAUUUCGAUCGUUAUUUAUAAAAAAAAACAUUUCUCAAAUUAAUUUUAGACAUUAAUCGUCUCCAUAUAGGAGUGUCGAUUUUCAACUGUAAUCGACUGAAUUUCCUUUUAGAUGACGAUCGUAAAACCUUGGCUUGCAGAUUUUCAAUAUCUCGAUUCAACGGCGAGUCUUUGGUCCCGUGGGCGUAAUUUGCGUCCUUACCAUUGUCUCCGUUCGUACCUACGUUACAUAUAUCCGUCGAAAAAACGUAACAAUCGCAGCGACCAUCAUUAUCGUAUAUAAUAUCCGGGGGACAAUAAAUACACUUAACUGAUCAUUCCGUAUGUUUGUACUUCGUUAAGCUCGCCAGACCGUAUAGGAUAUAUAUAUUUUAUCAACGGCCUUGAUCCGCAUUUUAACAUAACUCUAAGGUCGAGUCAGCGAAAUUAGAUCCCGUAGAUGUUGCUAAAAGGAAAUAACUGGUACUAAACGACGACAAUAACUGCAGAUAUAGAUAUUAACUAUAUAUUGAUCAGUUUAUAGUUCUGAAUGUUGCUGUUAUUAUUAUAACGUUUUUCUCACUCUCGUCGAAAAGGCUCGAAAAUUAAUAAGAAAAAAAACACUAGUCCAUAUAUGCACACUGUUGUGACCUUCCGUGAAUCGUAACAAUUAUUAUGAUUGUGCAUGCCCGACGCGACACUCGGUAGUUUUAUAGAUCGCGAAAUUGACAAUGGUAACAGUCGCGGCUAAGAUGGAAAAAAAAGUAUUGAAAAGUGGGCUGAGAUGGUAAAAUAUUGAAGAGUGCAACAUUUACGACUGUGUACUACUGUCGAGAUGAGUAACAACUAUGAUUGCGACUUAAUUGAUUGACCUAUUCGUGGGUUUGAAUAUUAUUUAGUUUACAAUGACGGCCUGUAGGCGAUUAUUUAGUGAGAGCGAAGGAGAAAGAAAGAUAAAAAGUCUCGUACAAGUAAAAGAUUUGAGGCGAUGUGGUUGUUUUAACAAUUUUAUUUGAUAUGCAAAUCAAUUAUAAAUUAUGCAUUAUGCGUAUUGUUACGUGUAGUAUAGAAUCAGGACAAUAUUUCAAAGAAGAAGCUCUCAUGUUUUCACUUGUCAUACAUUUUAGUAACCUCAAGUAUAUUAUUAUUAUUAUUAUUUGAUAAAAUUAAUUCAGUACAUAUGCAUUUCACAUUUGAUACCUAUCAUAUUAUUUAUUUUAUUUUUACAAACUAAAAAAAACAUAUGUAUUUUAAAAAUAUUUAUUAAAUCAAAUUAUACGACAAUUUUUCUUUUCUUUUACAUAAAUCGAUUACCUCUUCAAUAAAUUCAUAAGUUAGAUCUUCUUCGUCUUGGGUACUUAUUUUCAUAGAAUAUCUUAGUGUGCCUUACCCCGAUCCGGUGAAUAUAGUGGAUAUACUUUAUUGAUACUUUGAUAAAAAAAUAAAAAUAUAUAAUAUGUUUUUCGUGUAAAAUAUGUUGAUAAUAAUAAUAAAAUCUUAACAAGUGUUGUAAAUAUUUUUUGUUGCCUAUUAUUUUCUUCGAGGCAUGUGGAGGGAGGGAGGGAGGGAUGAAAUUAAAGAAGGAUAUUUGCUCUCUGUAUUCAAUAUUGUAUUUUGCUAUUUACGUGUAUACGGAUUCAAGAUCACGUUUAGUGGUCGUCCCGUGGUGCAGAAGAAUAAGUCGUGUUAAUCGGUGAAGUAUAACUGGUGAAAAAAAUAUAUUACCUAUCUAUCAGACCGUGGGACGACAAUCGCAUAACAUACGCUCCAUUCAUUUCACUCCGCGACACCGUGGGAGCGAAGGACCCGCGGAAGAAAAAAAAAUUUCGACAGCGCGAAUCGGAAUUGUUUCCACGUCCUGUUGGUUUAAGCGUCAUCGUUGCGUGGGUUUUCGCGAACAGCGGUGCUGCAACCGUAAAAUAUUGCAUACAAUAUACAAAUUAAGUAGUUAUAAUAAACAUGAUCAAUCUACAUGGAGGGGGAGGAAGGAUCUAUAUGAUGUAUCAUAAUAACUUAAACAAUAGGUAUGCAUUAUUAUACCAGGAUUGAGAGUAAAGCAUAAUAUGCAUUAAGCACUAUAUUUAUUUCAAACAAACGAAUAACAUUGAUUCAAAAUUUGUUUUGUGAUAAAUAAUAAAAUCAAUUUUAUUUAAGAUUUUAGAAUUUUUUCUUACGAUAUAAAAAUACCUUAUUAAUCAGAGUUUUUUUUUUAAAUCACUCAUCAAUUUGACUAUACAGUCCAAAAUAUUAUGUAUAUAAAAAAAAACAUUAUAUAUUUCCAUAUUAUCAAGGCUAGAUAAUUUAUCAUAAUUUUUAAAAUAAAAUUAAGAUACUUUCUGUAAUUGAUUCAUUAAAUGUUAAAUGCAAUUAUGUAAAUCACAAAAAUAUUUUAAAUUAUAUGGUGCGCGUGAGUUAGACAAAUUUUUUUUAAUUAAAAUAAUAUUUUAUCCUCAAGUUUAAUGAAUUUAUUUAUUUUUAAAAUAGUCUCGCUAACAAUUAAUUUUUCAUGUAAUUUUAAAAUAAAAAUAAGAUAAAUCGCAGCUAAGAAACGGAUUUACUUGUAUUAACGGCACACAUAGCAUCCCGUUAAAAUUUUGUCAGUGUAAUGGGACUUAUGUUAUACUUUAUAGCAGGGGUCGCCAACCAGUCGAUCGCGAUCGACUGGUCGAUCUUUCUAUGAAUAUAGGUCGAUCGUUAUAAAAAUUAAUUUUACCAUUAUCGGUCGAUCGCGUAAUAAAUAAUCGGAUAAUGUGGAUUGCUAAAUUGUAUUCUAGGAAUUUACCAUUAUCGGUCAAUCGGUAAUAGUCAGAAUUUUUUUUUUUAUUUGAAAAUAAAUGCCUCGGCUACAAUAAAUGGUCAGAAUUAUUGUUAGUUAUAACUCGACUGUCAAUUAGUCGUCUUGUGCAAGACGUGUGCAACGCGUAUAUGUUCCGUAUAUUUUCGUUAUUACGUUCCAAAUUUAUUUAGAAUUUACAACAAAUAAAAUGAAUCCAAAUAAAAUUGCUCAUAAAACUAAAUUAUCCUAGAUGUCGAUCACCUGGGACUAAAAAUUUCAAAUAUAGCUCACUUGUUUGAAAAGG